UCCUUCCUGGGAGAUGCCUAGAGACAGAGGUCUAGGAGUGGUGACUGUCACAGUGAAGGGCUGGCAGGAAGAGCAGGCAGACCAGAAAGAGAUGGAAGCAUGAGGAACAUAAAAUCAUUCCAUCGAUUUAAGCAUUUUCAAUGUAUGAUUCCUUUCUACCCUAGAAAACCAGAGACCAGCACCCCCGGGGAAUGGUGCCCCACUGGUGCACCAAUGGUUAUACACGACUCAGGCAAAUUAUGCCAAGUCUUUCUUAAAAAAAAAAAAAAGUGUGCUUUCCCAUGUGCCAGAUAUUAUUCCCACAACUUUUUUAUGAAGGAGAGAAUGAAUGAGGGUUUAAGUCCCAUUUUACAGACUGACAACCUGAGAUACAGAGAAGUUAUGUAAAUUUGCUCAAACCACACAUGGAAUCAUAUUCCCUUGGGACUGUCAACCACUCACUCUCCUUCCUUUCAGUUUGGCAGGUUUCAAAAAUGUUCAAUUUAUGCCACAGAUUUUGUAGGCGUUACAAUUACUAACCCAGAUUUGGUAGGGAAUGGUGAUGGUAGAGCCAUUAACUAAACAUAUUACCAAAUAAGCCCAUUUUUACUUAAAAGAUACUAAAAGGUACAAUGUCUCACUUAAAGAUAACCAACGAUACACUGUAGAAGCCUGGAAAUCAAUGAAUCCAGUUCAAGUGAAACAUACUGGGAUAAACUAUACACUCUCCAGGCCUAUUGGGCUACUUCCAGAUCCCUAAAGGAUCCUCUCCUGGCUUACCCGCACUCAUCCUUCAGAUUUCAAUUUCGACAUCAUUUCCUCUGCUGGCUACCCAGAGGAACUGUGGAAGUCGGGGUGAGGUGGCCCCUUGUGUGCUAGCAGUGCAGCACACUGGCUAUAGAUGUACACCUCAAAGUGCAAUUCACACUGGCUGCUAGUUGCCUGCUUGCUGGUCCCUCUCUUCCACAGGUCAACAAAGAUAAACCAGCUCAGCUUAGUGCCUGGAACACAGAGUUGCUCAAUAAAUAUUUGUUGAAUGAAUAAAGUACAGAUGACCCUUGAACAACAGAAGUUUGAACUACGUGGGUCCUCUUAUAUGCAGAUUUUUUUCAAACAACUGUAUCCACCUCUCCUGUCUUCCCUUCCACCUCUUCGUCCAUCUCUGCCACCCAAGACAGCAAGACCAACCCAUCCUCUUACUCCUCCUCAGCCUAGUCAACAUGAAGACAAUGAGAAUGAAGACCUUUGUGAUGAUCCACUUUUGAUUAAUGAAUAGUAAACAUAUUUUCUCUUCCUUAUGAUUUUCUUAGCAUAAUAACAUUCUUUUCGGCUGGGCACAGUGGCUCACGCCUGUAAUCCAAGCACUUUGGGAGGCCGAGGUGGGUGGAUCAUGAGGUCAAGCGAUCGAGACCAGCCUGGUCAACAUGGUGAAACCCCAUCUCUACUAAAAAUACAAAAAUUAGCUGGGCGUGGUGGUACAUGCCUGUAAUCCCAGCCACUCGGGAGGCUAAGGUAGGAGAAUCACUUGAACCCAGGAGGUGGAGGUUGCAGUGAGCUGAGCUGGCGCUACUGCACUCCAGCUUGGCAACAGACGGAGACUCCAUCUCAAAAACAAACAAAAAACAAAACAAAACAAAACAAAAACCAUUCUUUUCUCUAGCACACUUUGUUGAAAGAAUACAGUACGUAAUGCAUAUGACAUACAAAAUAUGUUAAUCAACACACAAAAUAUGUUAAUCAACUGUAAGGCUUCCAGUCAACAGUAGGCUAUUGGUAGUUAGGUUUUAGGGUAGUCAAGAGUUGUAAAUGGAUUUUUGACUCUAGGGGGUUAGCAUCCCCAAUCCCCCUGUGUUGUUCAAGGGUCGACUGUACUGCUAAAUGUUCAACAGAUCUGCAGCCUUUCUUCCCUCCUAUAUCCUUUUAACUCACAAGUUAACUUGUUGGCAAAACUAACAAGACGUUUCUUGGAGCUGUUUUAUGUUUAUGUUUCUUGCUGUUCUCCGGUAUCUAUAUCUCAAUAUUACCACUACGAGUGAAGAGCUAGGAAUCAAAGCUAACCUGAGAAAGUUUAGUAGCAGAGGCUAAAAAAAUAUACUGUAGUAUGAUCUUUCUUCUUCCAGACAGUUAAACAAGAAAGCCAGACCAGCCACCCACAUAUUUCUUCUACUUCCCAUGAUGAGGACAUUCAUAUUUGCUCUGCCUGCCACCCAAUAUUCAUAACUCCAGAAUAUAUACUGACUGCUUUCUUAUUUGCUUUUUGUUUUUUGUUUUGUUUCGUUUUUGAGACAGGGUCUUGCUCUGUCACCCAGGCUGGAGUGCAGUGGCACAAUCUUGGCUCACUGCAGCCUCGACCUCCCAGGCUCAAGUGAUCCUCCCACCUCAGCCUCCCAAGUAUCUGGGAUCACAGGCAUGCACCACCAUGUCAGGCUGAUUUUUAAUGUUUUGUUGUUGUUGUUUGUAGAGACGGAGUCUCACUACAUUGCCUGAGCUGGUCUUAAACUCCUGGGCUCAAGUGAUCCACCCACCUUGGCCUCCCAAAGUGUUGGGAUUACAGGCAUGAGUCACCAUGCCCAACCUAUUUGGUAUUUUAAUAGUACCCAUUAACUGCUUUCUGAACUGAGUUUCAGCCUAUACAAAAGAAAGGGUUCCAGAUCAUUCA
rnacentral:lncRNA from 1 species